rnacentral:rRNA from 1 species
AUUGAACGCUGGCGGCAUGCCUUACACAUGCAAGUCGAACGGCAGCACGGGUGCUUGCACCUGGUGGCGAGUGGCGAACGGGUGAGUAAUACAUCGGAACAUGUCCUGUAGUGGGGGAUAGCCCGGCGAAAGCCGGAUUAAUACCGCAUACGAUCCACGGAUGAAAGCGGGGGACCUUCGGGCCUCGCGCUAUAGGGUUGGCCGAUGGCUGAUUAGCUAGUUGGUGGGGUAAAGGCCUACCAAGGCGACGAUCAGUAGCUGGUCUGAGAGGACGACCAGCCACACUGGGACUGAGACACGGCCCAGACUCCUACGGGAGGUAGCAGUGGGGAAUUUUGGACAAUGGGCGAAAGCCUGAUCCAGCAAUGCCGCGUGUGUGAAGAAGGCCUUCGGGUUGUAAAGCACUUUUGUCCGGAAAGAAAUCCUUGGCUCUAAUACAGUCGGGGGAUGACGGUACCGGAAGAAUAAGCACCGGCUAACUACGUG